GUUGUAUAGUCAAGUAAUUAAGUGCAUGUGGUGGAUGCCUUGGCAGUCAGAGGCGAUGAAAGACGUAAUAGCCUGCGAUAAGCUUCGGGGAGGCGGCAAAUAUCCUGUGAUCCGGAGAUUUCUGAAUGGGGAAACCCACUUACCAUAAGGUAGGUA
rnacentral:rRNA from 1 species